ACACCAUGAUGAUGUUGAUGAUGAUGAUGAUGAUGAUGGUGGCCAUCAGCAUCGUCAGCGUCAUCGUCAUCAUCAUCGUCAUCACCAUCAUCACCA
rnacentral:pre_miRNA from 1 species